rnacentral:lncRNA from 1 species
GUUAUUUCAGUGUCAUACUAGGACAUUAUCUAACAGGAUCACCCAAGAAUAAUUUAAUUCCCUAGUAUGUACCCUUGCUUGCUUUGCUGUUUACUAUUGAUUAAAGCUAGGACUCUGUAAUGUUAUAUGUUCAUUUGUAGUUUUUGUCCAUUGGAGAUAUAUAAUUUCUUUCCAGAAGAAAGGUUAUACUUUAUUGCUCUGCAAGGUAUUAACCAGUUUUGUGCCCAACCUAGCAAAUUUAUUUCAGUAUACCUUUCCUAACAGUCUCUGUUCUCCAAAUGCCCCUUGAACUACCUUUAUCAUCCUGCUGACUCCUUUAAUAAUGAUUUAAAUCAAUGUUUGGCAUAUGCUUACUUGACAUUUGUAAGAAAGUCCUGUUUCUAACUUUAAAAAUUAUAUUUUGACAAUAUCAUGAUAAAAGUGGAGGUGAAGAAAAGUAGCGUCAGGACUUGCUGAUGGAUUGGAUGUGAAGACUGAGGAAAAGAGAAAUGUGAAAUAUAACUUCUAAAUUUUCUCAGACUUUAACAGUCAUCUGUGAAAGCAAUUUAACACUACAAAACCUACAAGGCUCCCAAGGCACAUUUUAGAGCUAUGGAUGAAUUCAUCUCGCCUGUUUUAGAUCAAAAGCAAAGAUAUUCUGCCGUUGUCUCAAAUAUCAUCCACUAAGUACUGUAGGUGCAUUUCAAAACAUUGUUUUAACUUUUUCAAAGAGAAUAUUCCUGGAAAAAUUACUUUUUAUCCAUGAAGAAGUUGGAUAACAUUUUUAAUGGCAAAAAAACACACUAUUCACAUUUUGGUUGCAAUCACAGACAUGCAAGAGGGAGCAAGUGGAAUUAUGCAAAAUUACCUAAAGACUAAGAACUGGCACACUAACACUUCUGCCUAAUUCUCUCACCAAGGUGGAUGAUCUCAAUGGACCAAUAUUCAAGUUUGCUGACUCUUUCUGACAACUCAAAUCUGCUUCAGUACCUCUCGUGAAUUCAUUUCAAUUAUUGUACUUUUCAACUCUAGUGUUUAUUAGUAUUCUA